UUGAUCUAUGAUUUGGUUUAGGAUCUAAGGUUUAAUCUAGGAUUUGAUUUAGCGUUUAGGAUUUGUUUAGGAUUUAAUUUAAGAUUUGAUAUAGGGUUUAAGAUUUGUCUAAGGUUUGAUUUAGAAUUUGAUUUACGAUCUAAAGUUUGAUCUAAGAUUUGGUAUAGGAUUUACGGUUUGUCCAAGGUUUGAUAUAGGAUUUGG
rnacentral:lncRNA from 1 species